UCCCUGGUGGCUCAGUUGGUAAAGAAUCUGCCUGUAACGCAGGAGGCCCGAGUUCGAUCCCUGGGCCGGGAA
rnacentral:tRNA from 1 species